rnacentral:tRNA from 1 species
GGGGACGGCGCUGGAGCGGCAUGGGAUGCUGACUCUUAAUCAGCGGGUCCAAGGUUCGAGUCCUUGUGCACCCACCA